rnacentral:rRNA from 1 species
UGGGGAAUAUUGGACAAUGGGGGGAACCCUGAUCCAGCAAUGCCGCGUGUGUGAAGAAGGCCUGAGGGUUGUAAAGCACUUUCAGUGGGGAGGAGGAUUUGAAGGUUAAGAGCUAUCAAAUUGGACGUUACCUACAGAAGAAGCACCGGCUAACUCCGUGCCAGCAGCCGCGGUAAUACGGAGGGUGCGAGCAUUAAUCGGAAUUACUGGGCGUAAAGGGUGCGUAGGUGGUUAAUUAAGUUAGAUGUAAAAUCCCUGGGCUUAACCUGGGAAUGAGAUUUAAAACUGAUUAACUGGAGUAUUGGAGAGGGUAGUGGAAUUUCCGGUGUAGCGGUGAAAUGCGUAGAGAUCGGAAGGAACACCAGUGGCGAAGGCGGCUACCUGGCCAGAUACUGACACUGAAGCACGAAAGCGUGGGGAGCAAACAG